GUAUAGUCGAAUAAUAGAAUAUACGCCGACUCACUAGCGUGACGUAACAAAAAUCGCUCGUUCCCGUUUCCUUCGAACACGGACGCCUGCCAACCAAAAGCCAAAUUUUGCGUGUUUAAGCGGCUCUAAAAUGUUUUCGUUUUGAUGAAAUCGAAAAAUUCUUUCGCUAGAACACUAUACUAAAUGAGUACUUUCAACAAAAUGAAAAAAAUUUUGUUUCAGGGGCACUUUAAGGUAGUAAUAUAACCACUCGAUCAGCACAGCAUUGUAACAUUUUGGCGCCCAACGUGGGGCUGCCAACUGGUUUGGUGAUG
rnacentral:lncRNA from 1 species